UACGUAGGAUGCAAGCGUUGUCCGGUUUUAUUGGGUUUAAAGGGUGCGUGGGCGGCCUAUUAAGUUAGUGGUGAAAACGUUCGGCUUAACCGGAUACCCGCCAUUGGUACUGAUAGACUUGAGUGCGACAGAGGGUGUUGGAAUGUGUGGUGUAGCGGUGAAAUGCUUAGAUAUCACGCAGAACACCAAUUGCGAAGGCAGAUGCCUAUGUCGUAACUGACGCUGAGGCACGAAAGCGUGGGGAGCAAACAGG
rnacentral:rRNA from 1 species